CCUACGGGUGGCAGCAGUGGGGAAUAUUGGGCAAUGGGCGCAAGCCUGACCCAGCAACGCCGCGUGAAGGAAGAAGGCUUUCGGGUUGUAAACUUCUUUUCUCAGGGACGAAGCAAGUGACGGUACCUGAGGAAUAAGCCACGGCUAACUACGUGCCAGCAGCCGCGGGAAUACGUAGGCUGCAAGCGUUAUCCGGAUUUACUGGGUGUAAAGGGCGUGUAGGCGGGGACGCAAGUCAGAUGUGAAAAUCACGGGCUCAACCUGUGGCCUGCAUUUGACACUGGGUUGCUUGAGUACUGGAGAGGCAGGCGGAAUUCCUGGUGUAGCGGUGAAAUGCGUAGAUAUUAGGAAGAACACCGAUGGCGAAGGCGGUCUACUGGACAGCAACUGACGCUGAGGCGCGAAAGCGUGGGUAGCAAACAGGAUUAGAUACCCUAGUAGUC
rnacentral:rRNA from 1 species